rnacentral:rRNA from 1 species
CCCGCCGCCGCACUCGCCUCGCCUACGCACCCUCCUCUUCUUCCACUACUACUGCUACUUCUUCUCCAGCCCGCUAGUUGCCGCGGCACUGAGCGGCGGCGUCUCUUCCGGAGUGAUCAGCAGAGAAAACAGGUUAUUGUCUGCCUAUCUACCACACAGCAAGAUGUCGGUAGCCAAGAAGGACGAGGUUUGCGGUCAUCCGCUUGGGCUGCGAUUGGGUGAGCCGGCUGCUGGUGUUCCCAUUAAGAAAAGGCCGGUUUUCUUAUCCGACAAAUCAGUUCCAUCUGGAAUGACACUCUCCAUGAAGCCCCCAUCUACUCCGACGGGGAUGUCCGUCUCGGCUCUGGGGGCUGGCUUUAGCAACGAGCCUGUCUUGAAUAGAUCUAAAUCGGAUAUUCCCAGUAGAUCUUUUACUCCGUUGACGAACGAGAAGAAAGGCGUGCUACUUAAUGGCUCAAGCGAGAUCCCCUCUCGUGGAGAGAGUGGUAGACUAGGGAGUGCUGCUCCCGUUGCCAGAUCACAGAGUCACAAGUUUCUGACUUUGGAUUUACAGUUAGCGUCUCGUCAGAAUGUCAAAAUCAACUCUAAUUCCCCUGUCAAGAAAGAGAAACUAGAUCAGGGGUUUUCUAUAUUUCCUUCAGCAAGACCUCCCAAGGAUGUGCAAACAACAAGUGGCAUGGAAUCUUCUUCUAACUCUAGCUUGGGAAAACUAUCUAAUUUAGAUCUUAAUGUAUCACUGGACCCAGUUGAUCAACUUGAAGGUUUGCCUACAAUGCAGGCUGGCUUUAACAUACCCCAUCAUACAACAAUUCAGCAUCAGAAAGCACAGGUUCCCCCAGUGGCACCCUUUUCUUCAGUAAGCAGUCGGCUGAGUCUAAAUAUUGACAAUACUCUGAAACCGUCAAGUGCAUAUCAACUUCCUAAUAAGAGUGUGGCAGCUGAUGUUACCUUAGAUUUGCAACUUAAACCACCAACCAGACCAGAGCUUGGAAUAAGCUGGAAAGGCCUUGCUCCUGAUCCAGAGCUAAGCCUCUCUCUAUCUGGUAAUCACACAGAUGAGCCUAAGGGUCUGAAUGUUCCUGAUGCUAUAUUUACGUCUGAACCUGUUGAAAGAGCCAAUAAGAUCAGCCUGGAGGUUCCUGCACCAGUCUCCAAUAAAUCACCAGCUGAGAAGAUUUCGAAACCUAUGGCGUGUAAUGUAAAUCCUCACACCACCAUGCCACACUCAGUUUCUGGAAAUGUGGAGAUAAUGCCCAGUAAUUUGGUGAAGAAAGAGCCUGGAGAACCUACACGGCGACAUAUCCAGAAAAAUGUAGAAAAGGCACCUCUGUUCGUCCAACAAAGUGUUGGACAGGCUAGCAGUAGUGCUGAAUUUGAAAAAACUGGCAACCUAAACCAAGUGUGUGGUAAAGCUGGCUUUGAUUUGUACUCUGGAAAGUUUCCAAAUGGUAGUGGUGUCCGCAAUGGAUUGGAGGUAGUGACUGAUAGUGUUCCUGCACAAACUGACAAGUUGUGUGGUGUUGCUUGCACUGAGAAAUUUAUCAAGCGUGAAGAAGUGACAACUGCCAUCCCAAGCCCUGUGAUUGCAACAGUAAGUGGUCAGUCUGAGUCAUUAAUUGCUAAAUCACUGCAUUUGGAAGGUAAUGUUGCCAGCCCUGUUGCUGGAUUAUGUGAACCAGCUAGUCAACCCACCAUUUCUGCUUCGGGACCUGCAAGCUGUAAUCCUGUUAAAGCUACUAUUGAUUGUAAACCAGCAGUUAAUCAGAUUCAUGCUCACAAAAAUGUGGCCCGGAAGCCUUGUGAUGUAUCUCGAAGUUCCUCCAACCCUACAGCUGAACCUCUGGUUUUCAAUUCUCUGCACCGUGCUGUACUUGAUGGUAUGUCCCAAGGAAGUGCUUCAAUGGACUUUUCAGAGGAUGGUGAUAAUGCUGUUUCACAGCUGCCUACUACCAAUAACCCUCGUGUUGAGUCAUUGGGUAAUAGUCAAAUUACUGAGGUUAAUAACUUAAUCACAGAGCCGCGGAAAGAAGGUGAUAGUAAUAUGCAUCAUGACUGUUUGUCCGUGACAAAUAAGGUUCACAUUCAGGGCACUGAUGAUGUGAAGCGUGUUAAUACGCCAGAUGUCAUUGCCACCCAUUCAGGUGAGGAGGAGCAUGAAAGUGAGGUUUCUGUUAAUGGGAAAGCCAAAGACAAACAAUUGUUGACAUCUGAUAAGAAUUCCCCACUGACUAAUACUGACAUUACCAUGGAAGAUGUUAAGAUUUCCGCAGGUGCCAGUUCAGCAGAUCUUACAAGAUCACCUAUUUUGGGAGCUUCAGGUUCCCAUAAAAUAGAUUCUACGAGGCAAUCUCCCAAGACAUCUGAUAACACUGUCGAGAAGUGUAGAAUCCCAGUGAUAAAAUCUGAAAGGAGUCAGUCUCCUGAUGGUAAACAAGCUGCUAAUUGUAGCGAGGACAAUACAAAAAUUGCUGCUGUAAAGAGUGAGCAUGGGACAGAAAAGGAAGAGAUUGCUAGAGGCUCUAAUUUACAGCCAAACGAUCCAGUUUUGGGUGAAGAUUCACUUGUUGACAGAGCUUCGACCAGUCAACUACAUAAUGAAUCUACAGAGGUAAAAUCGACAGGUGAAAGAUCAGAACACGAAAAAUCCAAACCUGACUCUUGCAUGACAUCUUCUGUACAGAAUGAAAAAGAUGGACAGGUUAAUGGGUCGCAUUGGCGAGAUGUGGCAAAUGCUUAUGUUAAUAGGAAUGAAAGAUGGGAGAGGUUCAUGCAGUCUGAGCGAGAGAACAAUAGAGAGUUCCAUGGUGGCAGAGACAUGAACAAUCAACGGAGGAUAGACCCACGUUAUCGUGGUCGUGGUGGUGGAUAUCAUGGCUAUCCAAGGAACUUCAGGGGUCCAAGAAUGAGCGAUGAGUCUGAAAUUGACUUCGAAGAUGAACCUAUUGUUGGCAGAAGGAGGCCACAUGAAAAUGACUACGGGCACUUGCACCGAACUCAGCAUAGGCGGCUGCGUUCACCACUGCAUCAGAUGCCUGGCUGCCUCAUGAGAGAAAUGGAGCAUGACAGAUUUUCUGGGAGAGAGAUUAUGGACCCUAGGCUGUUGGAUCACGGGCAGAUGGAUGAUGUCCCAGAUGACAUGAUGGAACAGAGGUUUUUCAUGCCCCAUCCUCAUUCACAGCACACUCUAGGUGAUCAUGCAUUUAUCCACAGGGACAGGAGUCAUUCACCUGGUCAAAGAAGGGGCGCCCCCGUGCAUUUCCACCGGGGACGGUCCCCUGAAACCAUGCACAGAUCACCACCACUAAACAGAAGUGACAGACCAUACUUACCUCAUCAACGCCACAUACGACGCCGUGGUUCUCCAUUCGACCGAGUAGGACAUGACGAGAGAGGUAUGCAAAGGAACAUGAAGCGGUGUGGCAUGCAUCAAGGUGUGGAAGGUGAGACCUUUGAGCCACCUUUACAUCCCGCUCAACUAGCCGUGCUACAUGCAGAGGCUGAGCUUACAGAGAGAAGGAGGUUUGGGGAGAGGAGAGGGUAUCGUCGAUCCUUGGAACGGAGCCCCAUGGGCGGCGACGAGGAGAUGCUCUCAUACCACCACGGCGAUGGCGACAUCGACUUCGCCGAUGGUGAUGGCGGUCCACGGGAGCCUGAUGGCCGUGGCUUCAGGAACAGAAUGGAGCACCGAGCAAGGGGCGAGCAGGAAGACGGCUUCAGGUACCGUGGCCCUCAGGGGUGCCGUGACGGCAACCCGAAUGACAGUAGAUCGAAGAAGAGGAGGUACUGACCUAGCAAGGGAUGGAUGAAUGCAUCUGAAUCUUCUACCGACUAAUACAUAGUGGCAUUUUGAUUCAGCCGUCGUCGCUUCUGUUAGCCAAAUCAAGAAGUGUUCGCUGACCACACCCCCCCUCUUCCUACAUUGGUUUGUUUGUUGCGUUCUUUCUCAGGAGAUAUGCUGCAGCAUUAAUAACAUCUACAGUGAUACACAUGUUACACUGAUGAGAUGAUUGUCAUCGGCUGGCUGCAUCUUUCGAUCCUGGUUGGCAUAAGCUGAAGCUAGCAUGUCAACAUGGAGGACAGUUUUUGCCAAAUCUUCAAACUAAACGAGAGAUGGCCUGAAGCUACUUGCAGAAGUGUCUUUAUCUAUCUAUCCGGGCUUUACCUACUUGCUGCACGGUAUUGGUAGGGCGCCCUGUAUUAAAGCGACUUGUCUUCACUAUAGUUUGCCUAGUUGUUGGUCCGGAAAAGCAGAUGGGAUACGGUACCGCAUACCCACCCGGUUUGGAUGUGGUUUAAUUAGGACUUGUUGCUGUCUUUGGACAAGACUUUUUACCUACUGUUUAUUAAUGGGUGUGACCUGCACCACCGCCACCGGGCAAUUUGCAUCGAAUAAAAGUCCGCGGUGUGUUCGGCAUUGCCCUUUUUUCUAAUGGUGCAGUGGAAAAGUAAGCAGCAGCUCAUGAUGGAUGCCC